rnacentral:tRNA from 1 species
GGGCGGGUAGUUCAGUUCGGCAGAACGCUUGGUUGGCAAUCAAGAGGCCCCGGGUUCAAAUCCCGGUCCGUCCA